GCACUGCCCCGUCCAGAGGCGCAGAGGCAGAGAGGAAAAAGCUGCUUUCCCAAGGAAGAACGGAGCCACUCUGCGCCCCAAGAGGGUUUAAAGGAUGGGCCGCUGGGCAAGAGGCACACACCUGAAACCCCAGCACUUAGGGAGGCUGAGACAGGAGGAUUAUGAACUCAAGUUUCGCGUGGGCAAUGUAGGGAGACUGUCUCAGAAAAUAAAAAGGGCUGGAUCUGUAACUCAGGGAUAAAGUGCUCUUGGGUACGAUCUCCUGUACUGCAAAAACAACAAAAAGAUGAAACUCAGGAACUAAAAUGUCUCUCUUUGAGCUGUUUGAGCUUUCUUUUCUUUUCUUUUUUUUUUAAUGGUAGUAUUGGGAAUUGAACCAGUGGCUCACACAUGUGCAAGCAUUCUACCACGGACGGCACCUCUAGCCCUUUUUAUUUUGAGAUAAGGUCUCCCUAAGUUGCUCAGGCUGACCUGAACUCGAAGGUCUCCUGUCUCAGCCUCCUGAGUAGGUGGGAUUACAGGCACCCAGCACCACACCUGGCGUGUUCUGCUCCUUUCCCUUGGGUUAUCUUUCUCUUCCAGCCCUUCUCCCUACAGGAAAGGCCAGGACACACCCCACCACCAGGCCUGGGGCCCGAUCGCCUAUCUUGUUCCACAACUCGCACCAUGCCCCAUAUCCAAGGAGCCCACUUCAGCCUGUCAGCGUGGACCAGACUUGGCUGCUACAACCCGCGGAGCUGCACACCUGGCUGGCGGACUCCUCAGCAGUGCUGGCCUCCGCCUGUCCUCGCGCCUCAUUCUACAAACCCUGGACUACUGAGUGUAGCGUGUUGGUGCCUGCGUGGUCCGGCUCCCACUUCUGCACUGAACUAGGUGGGAGGUUUUUUUGGUUGAGCCAGGGUCUUGCCGUGUAGCCCAGGCUGGCCUCGAACUCGCAGCGACCCUCGAGCUUCAGCCUCGCAGUGCCUAAUGGUCGCAUUCCUCGUGGGGAGCUGGUGCAGGGUCAGGACAGCAAUCCUGUAGCGUGCCCUCCCUCGCCCCUCACUCCCUCGCUCACGGGCAUUUCCGG
rnacentral:lncRNA from 1 species